rnacentral:tRNA from 1 species
UCUUUGGUAGUAUAGUGGUUAGUAUACUCGCUUGUCAUUAAACCGUCCGCGAGUGACCGGGGUUCAAUUCCCCGCCAGAGAG